ACCUGGCUGGCUCAGUGGGUAAAGCAUGUGACUCCUGAUCCCAGGGUCGUGAGUUCAAACCCCACGCUGGGCG